rnacentral:rRNA from 1 species
UGCGCAGGUGGGUUUGUAAGUCAGUGGUGAAAUGCUGCCGCUUAACGGUAGAAUUGCCAUUGAUACUGCAAAUCUUGAGUAUGGUUGAGGUAGGCGGAAUGUGUUGUGUAGCGGUGAAAUGCAUAGAUAUGACACAGAACGCCGAUUGCGAAGGCAGCUUACUAAGCCAUUACUGACGCUGAGGCACGAAAGCGUGGGGAGCGAACAGGAUUAGAUACCCUGGUAAUCC